ensembl:lncRNA
CGGCACCAGGUGCGGUUGCUGUGCAGCUCUGGGCGGGACUCCCUGUGCCUCGGUCUUUCCAUCUAUAAGGUAGAGGCAUGGUCAGAGCUGCCAGGAGGGCUGUAUCAAGCAGCGCGUGGGAGUGGCCAGCAUCGCACCUGCCCAUCAAGAGCGAUUGAUUCAUGCCAGCACAUCCUGGGCCCCACAGUUUGGAAUUACUCACUUUGACCUCUGACCCCGGACCCUUGUUCUGGGCUUCAGGUGCUCUCAGGAGCAGCCCUCCAGCCUACUCUCUCCCCUCCCCUCCUCUUUCGGAGGCCGACCCAGAGAUGGGGGAGGGGACCGAGGUUCCCAGGUGGCCCCAGCUCCUGCAGACCCCGGGGCACUGUCUGUUGUCAUUUUGCAACUGAAUCUCCUGUGCAAAGGGCCCUUCUGCGCAGCGUGAGAAGUCAGGGAGCAGCACCGGCCUCACCGUCAGGCCCACCAUCCAGAGGAACCAAAGCUCAGGGCUCGCAGGCCCUCUCCCUCGCCUGGGCCCCGUAGACCCUGGAGGCCGCCCUCUCCAGCAAGAGGAGCCAAGGCUGACAUAUGCCGCCAGCCUCAUCCAGGGUCAUUGUACCCACCAGCAUGGGGGCCCAGAGAUGGGGCAGGAUGAUUUCAGCCCUGCUCAGCCCCAGACCGUCCACCCCCAGGUCCUGGAGACCACCCUGGUCCACUCCUGGGGCCCUGUGCUUAGUGCUUAGUUGCUCAGUCGUAUCAGACUCUUUGCGACCCCAGGGGCUAUAGCCCACUAGGCACCUUUGUCCGUGAGGAUUCUCCAGGCGAGCAUAUUGGAGAGGGCACGACAACCCACUCCAGUAUUCUCUCUUGCCUGGAGAUUCCCACAGACAGAGGAGACUGGUGGGCUACAGUCCAUGGAGUCGCAAACAGUCAGACAUGACGGAAAUGACUUAGUAUGCAUGCAUUCUCUUUAAUACUCAGAGAACUGGGCUCAUGUCUGGGGAGGUCUUAGCCACUGUCAGGAAAAAGGCCUGGUGGGACUUCACUGUGGGUUGCCGCCAGAAA